rnacentral:lncRNA from 1 species
UAUUUACAAAAAUAGGCUCGAAGUUGCUACGUGAGCAGUGAGUUGGUGGAGUAAGAUAGAAGUGGUGAACCAAGUACCACUUUCAAGUAAAGGCGGUAAAUAGUUCACCGCUUUCAUACAAUUUUAUAAAAUCUAGGAAGGCGGUGAAUGGUUCACCGCUUUCAUGUAAUUCGCUCUCCCUUGUGCAUAUAAUAGUUAUAAACACAGUGAACCAUGGUUCACUGCAUAUAAAGGCGGUGAAUCAUUCACCGUCUAUAAAAGCGGUGAACCAUCCACCGCUUUUAUAUGCGGUGAAUCAUUCACUGCAUUUAACAUAACCCACCCCCAGGCAGCAAGUAGUUUACAAAUUUUCACAUUAUACAAAAUAGCAAUAUUUUCAAGCAUUUUAAUUAUAGAAAUAAAUACAUAAAAUCAUCUAUACCAAUUUCAACCACACUUUAAGCAUGUAAAAUGAGCUGUACCAAUAUCAACACACUUCAAUAUGAAUAAAUUUAGAUAAUACUAUAAAAAAUGAAUGUAGAAAAGAUCAAAAAUAUCAAAUAUACAUGAGAAUUCCAAGAAUGAUAAAAAAAUAAAAAUAAAAAUAAAAAUAAAUAAAAAAAUCAAGUUCCUCCCAUACCCCUCCCAUGCUCUCACCCUCGUCUCCUGACACGUCCAUGUCCACAUCGGCGUCCUCGACCCCAUCCUCGAAUAUGUAUAUCUGUCACGCUCCGGGGGCCUAGUUAAUAAUAGUCUUGGUAUAAAACAGUAUUGUUUUAUAAAUUAGAGUUGCAGAUUUUUUUAUUGAAACAGCCUGGCCCGCGUGAGGUACAGACCCGCCACAAAUACAAUUUUCUCUAUCUAUAUGGACAAAGUCUCUUUUGUAUUUGUACGGCAUACCGAUCAAAAAUAUCAACAAGAUUACAACUCACAACCUACAUUUACCAAAUCCACAGACAAUCGAUGCAUUACAUUUCCAUACAGUUAAUCAUUCUUAGAAAUGAUGCGUGCCUCUAAACACUCCUUAGGCGCUGGAUGACACUAUACACAAUACAACAAUCAUCCUAUUAUAAAUGCUUUCCACCCGGAAGCCUUAUUUUCUAUGCGCUCCUCCGGCCACAAGAAAGUAGAAUUUACAAUAAUCUAAAGGCGGU